rnacentral:lncRNA from 1 species
UCAGCCUUGGGUUGGCUCCCAGUCAUCUUCUCUCGGUCACCCCCGUGACUCUCUAGCUUUCAAACCUGCACACACACACACAUGAAUACGCGUUUGGUCAAAAACACACACCGAAAGAGGAAAAAGAAUGCACCUGGCUCGGGUCAUUGCUCGAAAAAUUUGAACAACCUCAGUUUUGGAUUUCGCCAUCAGACAGUGCUCCUCGACUGCAAUUUCCUUUCCUUCCCUUCCCUUCUCUUCGAAUUUUCGCCUCUGCGACUCUCUCUCUUCUCAUCCCCCUUUCUUCCUCUUCCCACUCGGCCACACUCUUUUUCUUCCCUUCCUCUCUUUUCUUCUCACUUCCCC